rnacentral:rRNA from 1 species
UACGUAGGGUGCGAGCGUUAAUCGGAAUUACUGGGCGUAAAGAGCGCGCAGGCGGUCGUACAAGUCGCGUGUGAAAGCCCCCGGCUCAACUGGGGAGGGUCACGCGAUACUGUUCGACUCGAAGGCAGGAGAGGGUAGUGGAAUUCCCGGUGUAGCGGUGAAAUGCGUAGAUAUCGAGAGGAACACCUGCGGCGAAGGCGGGUUGCUGGGCUGACACUGACGCUGAAGCGCGAAAGCUAGGGGAGCGAACGGG